rnacentral:rRNA from 1 species
GGAUGGGCGGCCUAAACAUGCAAGUCGAGCGGUAGAGAGAAGCUUGCUUCUCUUGAGAGCGGCGGACGGGUGAGUAAUGCCUAGGAAUCUGCCUGGUAGUGGGGGAUAACGUUCGGAAACGGACGCUAAUACCGCAUACGUCCUACGGGAGAAAGCAGGGGACCUUCGGGCCUUGCGCUAUCAGAUGAGCCUAGGUCGGAUUAGCUAGUUGGUGAGGUAAUGGCUCACCAAGGCGACGAUCCGUAACUGGUCUGAGAGGAUGAUCAGUCACACUGGAACUGAGACACGGUCCAGACUCCUACGGGAGGCAGCAGUGGGGAAUAUUGGACAAUGGGCGAAAGCCUGAUCCAGCCAUGCCGCGUGUGUGAAGAAGGUCUUCGGAUUGUAAAGCACUUUAAGUUGGGAGGAAGGGUUGUAGAUUAAUACUCUGCAAUUUUGACGUGACCGACAGAAUAAGCACCGGCUAACUCUGUGCCAGCAGCCGCGGUAAUACAGAGGGUGCAAGCGUUAAUCGGAAUUACUGGGCGUAAAGCGCGCGUAGGUGGUUUGUUAAGUUGGAUGUGAAAUCCCCGGGCUCAACCUGGGAACUGCAUUCAAAACUGACUGACUAGAGUAUGGUAGAGGGUGGUGGAAUUUCCUGUGUAGCGGUGAAAUGCGUAGAUAUAGGAAGGAACACCAGUGGCGAAGCCGACCACCUGGACUAAUACUGACANUGAGGUGCG